rnacentral:tRNA from 1 species
GCGGCUGUAGCUCAACUAGGGAGAGCGCCGGAGUACCGUUCUGGAAGUCGCAGGUUCUAGUCCCGCCGGCUGUC